rnacentral:rRNA from 1 species
UGAGUAACACGUGAGUGACCUGCCUUUUAGACUGGGACAACUUACCGAAAGGUGAGCUAAUGCCGGAUGAGUUAUAUAAGUGCAUGUUUAUAUAGGAAAAGUUGGGGAGACCUGACGCUGAAAGAUGGACUCGCGUCCCGUUAGCUAGUUGGUAGGGUAAUGGCCUACCAAGGCGACGAUGGGCAGCCGGCCUGAGAGGGUGGCCGGCCACACUGGGACUGAGACACGGCCCAGACUCCUACGGAAGGCAGCAG